CUCUGAGCAGAGCGCCUCCCGCUGAGCUCCCGGGCUGAGGCCGGCACCCACCCGGGCGAGGGGAGGGAGCGAGGCUUUUCCUCGAGCUUCCCGCGUGAGGCAGUGGGCAGGGCCGAGGCCAUCGGCGCCCAUUGGACAGAGAGACAAAGGGAGACUCAGGCGCACCCAGUGAGCCGCAUUUAUGAAGCAGCUCCCGGCCGGCUCUGCGCUCCCCGCUAGGAUCCAGUCCUGGCCUCCAGGGGGCGUUAGGAGAGCUCGACUCGACCAAAGAUGGCGGCCGGAACCCCGCGGGAGGUUGAGGUUUCUGCCAAGCUCUGGGGAACCGGCUGAGAAAAAGGACUCAAAAUGAGAACUGAGAAGACCUGCCUCCUCUCCAAGGUUAUUGAACAUCACUCCAUCUACUCCCAUCUCCCAACAGCAAAGGUCCUAAUCCUUUUGGCCCCAAAUCCUCCCCCCAAUACAGAUUAAAAGCAAAACCCCA